ensembl:lncRNA
CCCUGCCCUGCCAGUCCUAGGGCAUUGGCCUCAUGAUUGCUGUUCCUGUGCACUGAACUCAGGGCCUCCGUCUCCAUAAGUUGAUCGUUAUUCCUAAAUAAUUUCAAAUUGGUCUCCCAUUAACUCCAUGAUUUGAGUUUAGCAACUCCUACCUUUGGUGGAUUCCUCUGGCAUCUUCACAAAGACAGAGGGUCGUCUUAGCUCUGCCUUACCCCAAGCUGUGCUGCCACCAUGGAUAAAUAGCCUGUAGUCUUCCUCUUCUUCAGCACUUUACCUACAGCAGUGCUUGUGCCUGGAGCAGAGCUCUGUUCUAGCCACAGAUUACUCACACCUGCUUCAGGUCAUUUUGCUUUUAAAUAUCCUUCAUGGUGAGAUGCUAAAGUUUCGUAAUGAAGGUUUUAAAUAGCUUCUUCCUGGUUGUAAAAGUUCAUUCCAGGAAACAAUAUUGGAACUGGGAACUGGUGGGGCUGUGAAGGCUGUAGCCCUUGCUCUAGGCAUUUCCCCUUCUCAGAGCUGGAGAUGACUCACUACCCCAGCAUUUGCCUGUUUCACUGAUGAGGCUUUACCUCCCUUUCAAUUUGAGGUGUGCUUAGGGAAAGCAAGCCGAGGUGCUGCGCAUAACAACUCCAGACUGUGGCUAAGUGAUCGUGUGAUGGAGCCAUCAGUCCAGGACUCUCUCAUGGUCCAGCUCCGACAUUUACAAAACGUCUGACUAUGAGUUGCUCACCUUCUGAACUCAGCCAUCAUGCUGUAAGAAACCCGAGCCGUAUGCAGAAGUGUGGUGGAGGUGACCUGGUUGACAGUGCGAGCUGACCUCUGAUCUUCCAGUCUCCUAGCCAUGGGUUGGAUCUUCACCAAAUGACUGAGAAUAAUAAAAAGUGCGUGCUCUUUGUAGAAGCCGGCUCCCAAGAAGAAGAGCAGAGGAAAGGACAGAGCUAGGCUUGGAUCAUUACCCUGAACUGAACCUUAAAUAUUAUGGGAGGAUGACUGAGGAAUAGAGAGGCCAGAAGUGCUAUGUUUCUUCUCUGUGGAAGGAAAACACCAUAAAUGGGUAUAGGCAUUCUCUGUAAUAGGUGGGAACCCUGGAGGUUGUAUAAAGAAAUAUAAGCCACAGACACUAUGUGACAAUAUGUGACAUUUCCAUGAAGCAGAUGAGACAAGGCACCCGAUCACAAAGGCCUUCCUAGGCCACCCUAUAGUAAACAGCAUCCUUACCCACUUGCCCCUUACUUCAUUCCCUCAUAUACCCCAAAGGCUGACACAAAGAAUUACACUGUCAUUGUUUGCCUAAGGUACAAAUAGAAGUCCUUGAGUACACGUCUUCAUUUUGUUCAAGUUGUAUCCCCAGUGUCUGCACCAGUAACCAGAAGGUAGCAGGCAUUGUUGAAUGAAUGAAUACACGAAUACAAAAAUAAGACAAGUAUACAAAUAAGUGUCGUAUAGUAGCAUAGGAAAAAAUAAGUGAGAGUUAUUAAAAGUCCUAUGUUUGCUCAUUGAUGGAAGAGAUUCCUGCUCUCUAGGUUCAUCAGGGGAAGCUUCAAGGAGAAGCAGUUUGAGCUGGACUAUAACACAUAGAGUUGCACUAAGUAGGAUGAGUGAGGAGAACAGCAUGACUGAAAAAGGCCAAGUUUUAAAAAACUCACAACAUCUCUCGCGUUGAUGAAAUUUUUCAUAAUUGACUUUACAUAAACUUCCUCUAUUUACAACUGUAGUGUAAAGAAACUUCCUAAAAUAUUUGGAAGAAAUAAAACCAUACAUUUUAUUUUUCCAUUUAUUUUCCUAUUGAAAUUAUUAGAGGUUACUGAUUUUAAGAAUUUAACUUUAUAAGCUUUAUGUAUCAGAGAAGAAUAUGUGGUGUGUGUGUGCAUGUGCAUGCGUGUGCAUAUGUGUGUAUACAGAUAUACCUACAAAGAAAUAAUAUUUUAGGACAGUGCAAAUUUACUAAAAACAUAUAAACCAUGUUUUUUAAAGUAUUUUUCCUUAAUCAUAACUUACUUCUAAAAAUUAUAAAUGACUUUAUGCAUAAAUUUUCAGAAAACUGUCAUAUUGGCAAAGGCAUUUUUUUUCAAUUGCUAUAGUUUAUAUAUUCUCUUUUUCUUCAAAAUUCUUUUUCAUAGUAAGUUUUUUUUAAUUGUCUGUGUUCAGAAGCACCCUAUAAGUAGAAAUGAAAGUAAUCACAUGGAAUUUUAUGAUCCAUAGUUCUGUUAAUAGUAGUAUGAAGUAAUGUAGCCUGAAAAAUAAUAUAUAAAAAUGGCCUAUGCUUAUUAGCUCUAAAUUGACUCACUGAAAAACUAAUGUGAGAUUGGAAAAUAUUCUAGUAUUCUUUUUCUGCAAGAGCAAAAUUUCAAGAGUAUGGACCAAUCAAGAAUAGCUUAGACAAGAUUCCUGCUGUUUCUCUCCAGGAGAUUCAAUAAUCUUCUGAUUCUUUUCCUAUAACGUCACACAAAAUUGCUUGUGUUCGGCAACCAACAGGUAUCAAAGAACACAAUUAUGAAUAAGAUGGUUUCCUCUGAUCUGUGGACUAUGUCUGAUUUUUAAUUUUGCAUUUUAUCCAUAUUGAUUGG